rnacentral:rRNA from 1 species
AUUGAACGCUGGCGGCAGGCCUAACACAUGCAAGUCGAGCGGAUGAGAGGAGCUUGCUCCUUGAUUUAGCGGCGGACGGGUGAGUAAUGCCUAGGAAUCUGCCUGGUGGUGGGGGAUAACGUCCCGAAAGGAACGCUAAUACCGCAUACGUCCUACGGGAGAAAGCGGGGGAUCUUCGGACCUCGCGCCAUUAGAUGAGCCUAGGUCGGAUUAGCUAGUUGGUGAGGUAAUGGCUCACCAAGGCGACGAUCCGUAACUGGUCUGAGAGGAUGAUGAGUGACACUGGGACUGAGACACGGUCCAGACUCCUAAGGGAGGCAGCAUGGGGGAAUAUUGGACAAUGGGCGAAAGCCUGAUCCAGCCAUGCCGCGUGUGUGAAGAAGGUCUUCGGAUUGUAAAGCACUUUAAGUUGGGAGGAAGGGUAUUCACCUAAUACGUGAGUAUUUUGACGUUACCGACAGAAUAAGCACCGGCUAACUUCGUGCCAGCAGCCGCGGUAACAC